CAGCCGCCGCGGUAAUACGGAGGAUCCAAGCGUUAUCCGGAUUUAUUGGGUUUAAAGGGUGCGUAGGCGGCUUAUUAAGUCAGGGGUGAAAGACGGUGGCUCAACCAUCGCAGUGCCUUUGAUACUGAUGAGCUUGAAUAUACUUGAGGUAGGCGGAAUGUGACAAGUAGCGGUGAAAUGCAUAGAUAUGUCACAGAACACCGAUUGCGAAGGCAGCUUACCAAGGUAUGAUUGACGCUGAGGCACGAAAGCGUGGGGAUCAAACAGGAUUAGAUACCCUGGUAGUCCACGCCCUAAACGAUGAAUACUCGAUGUUGGCGAUAUACAGUCAGCGUCCAAGCGAAAGCGUUAAGUAUUCCACCUGGGGAGUACGGCCGCAAGGUUGAAACUUAAAGGAAUUGGCGGG
rnacentral:rRNA from 1 species